rnacentral:misc_RNA from 1 species
AAAAAAAAAAAACAGGAUGAAUUGGAUGGCUUAAUACAUUAGAAGAAAAAUCAACACCCACGAUAUGACCAGAAAAUCUUUUGGAAUGAAUGUUACAAUAGAAAAAUUCAUGACUUCAGAGUCCCCUUCCUCUAGACCAGCUCUGCUCUUCUGAAUUGAUAGGUUACCAUCUUGCUAUAUAACAGAUACUUCUUUUCAACAAAUCAGACAGAAAAGACAAGAUACCU